rnacentral:rRNA from 1 species
GACGAACGCUGGCGGCGUGCUUAACACAUGCAAGUCGAACGGAAAGGCCCUGCUUUUGUGGGGUGCUCGAGUGGCGAACGGGUGAGUAACACGUGAGUAACCUGCCCUUGACUUUGGGAUAACUUCAGGAAACUGGGGCUAAUACCGGAUAGGAGCUCCUGCUGCAUGGUGGGGGUUGGAAAGUUUCGGCGGUUGGGGAUGGACUCGCGGCUUAUCAGCUUGUUGGUGGGGUAGUGGCUUACCAAGGCUUUGACGGGUAGCCGGCCUGAGAGGGUGACCGGCCACAUUGGGACUGAGAUACGGCCCAGACUCCUACGGGAGGCAGCAGUGGGGAAUAUUGCACAAUGGGCGGAAGCCUGUUGCAGCAACGCCGCGUGCGGGAUGACGGCCUUCGGGUUGUAAACCGCUUUCGCCUGUGACGAAGCGUGAGUGGCGGUAAUGGGUAAAGAAGCACCGGCUAACUACGUG